rnacentral:rRNA from 1 species
UACGGAGGGUGCAAACGUUGCUCGGAAUCAUUGGGCGUAAAGCGCACGUAGGUGGCCUGUUAAGUCGGGUGUGAAAUCCCUGGGCUCAACCCAGGAAGUGCACUCGAAACUGGCAGGCUUGAGUACUGAAGAGGGUCGCGGAAUUCCCGGUGUAGAGGUGAAAUUCGUAGAUAUCGGGAGGAACACCAGUGGCGAAGGCGGCGAGCCUGGGCAGAUACUGACACUGAGGUGCGAAAGCGUGGG